AAUCAGUGAACAGAAGAGAUGUCCAUCACCCCCAGGAGAGUAGUGUCUGAACCCGUCUAACCGCCCAACAGGUUCUCCCUGCCGCCGGUCUGGACAGAGCUGCUUUAUCACAACAGCCAGGUCUCCAGCUGGGGUGGACGUGCCCACCAGCUGCCGAAGGCCAAGACGCCAGGUCCGGUGGACGUGACAAGCAGGACAUGACAUGGUCCGGUGUGACGGCGAGGACAGAGGAGGCGCGUCCGGCCUUCCUGAACACCUUAGGCUGGUGGGGCUGCGGCAAGAAGCGGGUCUGUUUCUUUACUUCCUCCACGGAGUCGGCACACUAUGGCUGCCCUCUGGGCUCCCAGAACCCACAACAUGAAAGAAAUGGUGCUACCCAGCUCAAGCCUGGGCCUUUGAAUCCGGACACAAAACCCUCUAGCUUGGAAAUGAAUAUGCUGCACUUUACAACCACUGCACUACCUGACUCAGGAAUCGGCUCUGGAAGGUGAAGCUAGAGGAACCAGACCUCAUCAGCCCAACAUCAAAGACACCAUCGGAACAGCAGCGCCCGCAGCACCCACCCCGCACCGGCGACUCCAUCUUCAUGGCCACCCCCUGCGGCGGACGGUUGACCACCAGCCACCACAUCAUCCCAGAGCUGAGCUCCUCCAGCGGGAUGACGCCGUCCCCACCACCUCCCUCUUCUUCUUUUUCAUCCUUCUGUCUCUUUGUUUCUGAGCUUUCCUGUCUUUCCUUUUUUCUGAGAGAUUCAAAGCCUCCACGACUCUGUUUCCCCCGUCCCUUCUGAAUUUAAUUUGCACUAAGUCAUUUGCACUGGUUGGAGUUGUGGAGACGGCCUUGAGUCUCAGUACGAGUGUGCGUGAGUGUGAGCCACCUUGGCAAGUGCCUGUGCAGGGCCCGGCCGCCCUCCAUCUGGGCCGGGUGACUGGGCGCCGGCUGUGUGCCCGAGGCCUCACCCUGCCCUCGCCUAGUCUGGAAGCUCCGACCGACAUCACGGAGCAGCCUUCAAGCAUUCCAUUACGCCCCAUCUCGCUCUGUGCCCCUCCCCACCAGGGCUUCAGCAGGAGCCCUGGACUCAUCAUCAAUAAACACUGUUACAGCAA
rnacentral:lncRNA from 1 species